GGCCAGUUAGCUCAGUUGAUUAGAGCAUGGGGCUGAUAACACCAAGGUCCAGGGUUCAAUUCCCUGCACUGGCCA